AGGGCUUAAAGCUUAGUGGUGAGGCUGCAGUUGAACGAUGUACUUUAGAUGGUGUACGGGGAUUGCGCGUACUGUUGAGUGCAACAGUGCAUGAUGUGCUGUAUUACAUGAGCCCCAUUUACUGCCAGGCUAUUAUUGACUCGGUCUCCAACCAGUUGAAUAUGUUAUACUUAAAGUUUCUCAAGAGGAAUCCCGGUUAUAGUGGAAAGGUUUCUUUGUAUGGUCAUUCCCUUGGGAGCGUUUUGUCAUAUGAUAUCCUAUGCCACCAAACAACACUGUCAUCCCCUUUUCCCAUGGAGUGGAUGUACAAAGAACAAAAUGAGAAUGAAUCGUCUCAGCAGGAUCAGAGCAACCUAUCUUUAGACCAAAACUCUGCCUUAAGCUCAGAUGAUGAAACUUCUAUUAGGAAGGGAAAUAAGAGUGAUCUGUCAGAUAAAGACAAAAUGAAUGUAGAACCAAGUUUGUCAGAGUCUGUGGAAGAUCGUACUGAAGAUUUUUGUCAUCCUGUGGGCCCUCCUGCUUCAUCAGACUCAGACGAACCAGUUGCAAGCGAUGAUAUCAGGGAACCUAAUGAUUCCUCAGCAAAUGAAAAUUUUCGUGAAACUCCUAUUGAUGAGAGGGACACUAUAAAUGAUGCCGAGAAUGUGGAGGAUGGAAUUUUUGAGUUUAAUCAAAAGAUUGAUGAGGGAGUAUCUGAAUGUGAAAAAGACAGAACAAUCAAUUCCCUGAGGAAAGAGAUUGAUAUGCUGAGAGCGAAAAUCCAAGAAUUAGACACCGAGUGUAUAAAGAAAGGAUGUGUAACGGAAGCAGAAAAUGGAGGAACAAACGCAGCUACAAGAAAUCAAUCUAUUCCUGAGGAAAGUGAUUCAGCAAAGAGUUAUACCCCGCAAUUAAGAUACACAAAGUUGAAAUUCAAGGUGGAUACAUUUUUUGCUGUUGGAUCCCCUCUUGGUGUUUUUCUAUCCCUCCGAAAUGUUCGUAUUGGGAUCGGCAAGGGGAAAGACUACUGGGAAGAGGAUAACAUAGUUGAAGAGAUGCCAGCUUGUCGACAAAUGUUCAACAUAUUCCAUCCUUUUGAUCCAGUGGCAUACAGAAUAGAACCACUCGUCUGUAAAGAAUAUCUCAACAAACGCCCCGUCAUUAUACCCUACCACAGAGGUGGGAAACGGCUGCAUGUUGGUUUUCAGGAAUUUAAAGAAGAAGUAUCUUUGCGCUCACAUGCUUUUGUGAACAAUAUAAAUACUGUGAAGGUAAAGGUGAUCACACUUUGUCAAUCAAGAGACAAGGAUGGCGAAGAUGAGGGUUCCCAAGAGUCUCAGGAGAUAGAAGAGAGGUCAUAUGGCUCAAUUAUGAUGGAGAGAUUAACUGGGAAUGAAGAUGGUCGAAUAGAUCAUGUUUUACAAGAUAAAACAUUUCGGCAUGCAUACAUUUCAACCCUUGGAGCACACACGAACUACUGGAGAGAUAACGAUACAGCUCUUUUUAUGCUGAAACACUUGUAUCGGGAUAUACCAGAGGAUUCCUACUCGUCUUGUGAACCUGUGGAAGGAAGUUCAAAGGAUGAUAGAGACACAACGACCUGGUAUGAUCAACGAGAGGAGGUUGAUGAAGAAUUCCCAUUAACAUUUGCGGACAAAGUAACUGUGAAAAGUUUUUCUCACAAAGCCCGGAGAACUUUGAAGUGGUGAAUCAUGCUUUGAUCUCUUUUAAACUUAGAGAUGCAGAAAAACACCAAUUCUGGACUUAUGCUACUUCAACACUAAUCAGUGUAAAAGCACAAGUUCUUUGUAUACCAGUGCUCUAACAAGGAGAGUGUUGAAGGUAUAUCUGUCUUGUGCAAGCGCGGUCUGGAAAUACCUUGUACUGUUUCAGAAUAUGAUGUAAACGAAGGUAUUUCUCCGCAGCUGUGAUCUUUAACCGUCUUCUGUAAGACUGAUCUUCGUCUUAAAAGGAAGACGAGAAACAUAAGAUCGAUCCUCCGGUGUAUACAGUGAAAAAGGAUAUGCUCAUGUGACUUGAGCCAUGUAUGAAUGCUUGUUUUUUAUAUGUGAAUUUCUGGCACUAAACAUGUAAAUAUAUGUAGCUG
rnacentral:misc_RNA from 1 species